rnacentral:rRNA from 1 species
AUCAUAGCGAGGAAAGAAACCAACAGGGAUUACCUCAGUAACGGCGAGUGAAGCGGUAACAGCUCAAAUUUGAAAUCUGGCGCUCUCAGCGUCCGAGUUGUAAUUUGUAGAAGAUGCUUUGGGUGUGGCUCCGGUCUAAGUUCCUUGGAACAGGACGUCAUAGAGGGUGAGAAUCCCGUAUGUGACUGGCGGCCUUCGCCCGUGUAAAGCUCUUUCGACGAGUCGAGUUGUUUGGGAAUGCAGCUCUAAAUGGGAGGUAUAUUUCUUCUAAAGCUAAAUAUUGGCCAGAGACCGAUAGCGCACAAGUAGAGUGAUCGAAAGAUGAAAAGCACUUUGGAAAGAGAGUUAAACAGUACGUGAAAUUGUUGAAAGGGAAGCGCUUGCAACCAGACUUGCCUGCCGUCGAUCAUCCUGGGUUCUCCCUGGUGCACUCGGCGGUGGUCAGGCCAGCAUCGGUUUCGGUGGUGGGAUAAAGGCCUUGGGAACGUAGCUCCUCUCGGGGAGUGUUAUAGCCCUCGGUGCAAUGCCGCCUACCGGGACCGAGGACCGCGCUUCGGCUAGGAUGCUGGCGUAAUGGUUGUAAGCGACCCGUCUUGAAACACGGACCAAGGAGUCUAACAUCUAUGCGAGUGUUUGGGUGCUAAACCCAUACGCGUAAUUAACGUGAACGGAGGUGAGAACCCUUUAGGGUGCAUCAUCGACCGAUCCUGAUGUCUUCGGAUGGAUUUGAGUAAGAGCAUAGCUGUUGGGACCCGAAAGAUGGUGAACUAUGCCUAAAUAGGGUGAAGCCAGAGGAAACUCUGGUGGAGGCUCGCAGCGGUUCUGACGUGCAAAUCGAUCGUCAAAUUUGGGUAUAGGGGCGAAAGACUAAUCGAACCAUUGGAACGUACUAGGUGGGCAAAAGCUAGGCCUCCAGAGGGCCUAGCUAGUUCGCGGCAGCGCGAGCGACACUGUCAAAUUGCGGGGACCUCCCGACGACGCAUCGCUACCGCAGCCCUGGCGAAAGCCAGGGCGCGCACCGGGUUAACGACCCUGGGGAUGGUAAGAACGCGAUGCCGAGGGACGACCUGCAGCCAAGCCCUAGCCACGGGUGCAGUUCACAGACUAAAUGUCAGUGGGGCUCUCCGCCUUAAGUCAUAGUCGAUCCCCCCAGGCAACCUGGGGG